GACGAACGCUGGCGGCGUGCUUAACACAUGCCAGUCGAACGGGCCCGCCCCUGUUUUUGGGGGUGGGUUGAGUGGCGAACGGGUGAGUAUCACGUGAGUAACCUGCCCCCUGCUCCUGGAUAACUGCUUGAAAGGGCGGCUAAUACGGGGUGUGCCGGCUGGUCCGCAUGGGCCUGGUCGGGAUAGUUUCAUCUUCGGGUGUUUCGGUGGGGGAUGGGCUCGCGGCCUAUCAGCUUGUUGGUGGGGUGAUGGCCCACCAAGGCGGUGACGGGUAGCCGGCCUGAGAGGGUGGGCGGCCACACUGGGACUGAGACACGGCCCAGACUCCUGCGGGAGGCAGCAGUGGGGGGUAUUGCACAAUGGGCGGAAGCCUGAGGCAGCGACGUCGCGUGAGGGAUGGAGGCCUUCGGGUUGUGAACCUCUUUCUCCGGUGGUGAAGGCCCUGUCCGUUGCGGCGGGGUUGACGGUAGCCGGGUAUGAAGCGCCGGCUAACUACGUG
rnacentral:rRNA from 1 species